AACGUAGGUCACAAGCGUUGUCCGGAAUUACUGGGUGUAAAGGGAGCGCAGGCGGGAAGACAAGUUGGAAGUGAAAUCCAUGGGCUCAACCCAUGAACUGCUUUCAAAACUGUCUUUCUUGAGUAGUGCAGAGGUAGGCGGAAUUCCCGGUGUAGCGGUGGAAUGCGUAGAUAUCGGGAGGAACACCAGUGGCGAAGGCGGCCUACUGGGCACCAACUGACGCUGAGGCUCGAAAGUGUGGGUAGCAAACAGG
rnacentral:rRNA from 1 species